AGCAGCCGCGGUAAUUCCAGCUCCAAUAGCGUAUAUUAAAGUUGCUGCAGUUAAAAGCUCGUAGUUGAAUUUCGGGACCAUCAUGUCGGUCGUGCCUCGGUACGUACUGGCAUUGUUGGUUUCUACCUUCUGACGAACCAUGAUGUCAUUUAUUUGGUGUCGUGGGGAAUCAGGACUGUUACUUUGAAAAAUUAGAGUGUUUAAAGCAGGCUCACGCUUGAAUACAUUAGCAUGGAAUAAUGAAAUAGGACGUUUGAUUCUAUUUUGUUGGUUUCUAGGAUCGACGUAAUGAUUAAUAGGGAUAGUUGGGGGCAUUAGUACUCAAUUGUCAGAGGUGAAAUUCUUGGAUUUAUUGAAGACUAACUACUGCGAAAACAUUUGCCAAGGAUGUUUUCAUUAAUCAAGAACGAAAGUUAGGGGAUCGAAGACGAUCAGAUACCGUCGUAGUCUUAACCAUAAACUAUAGCCGACUAGGGAUCGGAUGAUGUUAAUUUUUUAAUGACUUCAUUCGGUCCG
rnacentral:misc_RNA from 1 species